AGGGCCCAGGAAAGCUGCCUUGAGGAGCUGCCGCCUUUUCGCCGGACUCGAGUCUGCUUCGCGAAAAGAAAGCGGGCGACGCCACCACCACCACCGCCGCCGCCACUUUCCUGCCUCCGCACCUCCCGCGUCCGCAUUUUUCCUCCUGCGGCGCGCCCCGAGCUCACUUAAAACUCAGAUUUGGUUUGGAUGCCUUUUACAUUAAUCUGACCUGCCCAUGUAAAGAAUAGACUGGGAGAAAUGCUGAAAAUCACUCGACUUCCUCUUUCCAUGGAAAACUGAACGGAAUGUGGUGUUAGAUCUGCGAAAGAAGGCCCGUUGAAUUUAGCUGCAGUGAUGAGUUCUGAAGAGAAAGGAAUUUCUCCUGCUCACAGAACCUCCACACCAUCACAUAAAGCUGAUUCCUCUUCAUCAUUUUCCCAAUGGGACACUAGGCAGAGUGGCCAUGUGUUAGAGCGAAAUGCUUCUGUUGGAAGCACAGACUUGAUUAUUGGGAAACAGUUGUUAGAGAAUGAGCCAGUUGCUGUAUCUAAAGAGCCAGACAGCUGGGAAAUUAUAGAAGGCUUGAAAAUUGGCCAGACUAAUGUCCAGAAGCCAGACAAACAUGAAGGAUUCAUGCUGAAGAAAAGGAAAUGGCCUUUAAAAGGCUGGCACAAGCGCUUUUUUGUUUUGGACAAUGGAAUGUUGAAAUAUUCAAAGUCACCAAUUGAUACUCAGAAAGGGAAGGUUCAUGGGAGCAUAGAUGUGGGAUUAUCGGUUAUGUCAAUUAAAAAGAAAGCACGUAGGAUAGAUCUUGACACCGAGGAGCAUAUCUACCAUUUAAAAGUAAAAUCCCAGGAUUCAUUUGAUGCUUGGGUGUCAAAGUUGCGCCAUCAUAGAUUAUAUCGUCAGAAUGAGAUUGUGCGUUCGCCACGGGAUGCCAGUUUCCACAUAUUCCCUUCAACUUCCACCACUGAAUCUUCACCAGCUACUAAUGCCACAGUGCUGGAAACUAAGGUCUCUCAGAAUAAUUUCCCCUGGCAACCGUCUAUCCCUUGCAGUAGCAGUCUACCUGAAACAUGUACUACUGGCCAAAGUAAAGUAGUUGCUUGGUUGCAAGAAUCAGAGGAGAUGGACAAGUGUGCAGAAGAUCUUGCACAUUGUCAAUCAAAUCUUGUAAAACUCAGUAAAAUUCUUCAGAACUUAGAAAUACUUCAGAGAACUCAGUCAGCACCUAGCUUCACAGAUAUGCAGGCUAACAGUGUAGAUAAGAAAGACAAGCGUGUCACCAGAAGAUGGAGAACAAAAAGUGUGAGCAAAGAUGCUAAAAUACAGCUUCAGGAAGGGACUGCACUGAAGGGCCAAUUCGGUACUGCACGGCGCCGGCAGAGACUAGCAGCAGCAGUGGCUACAACAGUCCCUUUUAGUGCUACAAUGUCUCCUGUUCGACUACAUUCAUCUAAUCCUAACCUUUGUGCAGACAUCGAAUUUCAGACCCCACCCACUCAUGUAUCGGAUCCUUUGGAAAGCUCCACAGACUACAUAAAACUACAGGAAGAGUUUUGCCUCAUGGCUCAGAAAGUACAUUCUCUUUUGAAGUCUGCCUUUAACAGUAUAGCAAUAGAAAAGGAAAAGCUGAAACAGAUGGUAACUGAACAUGAUUUCGCAGCACACAACACACAGAUGUUACGUCUCCGACAAUCACUUUCUCAGGCUCUCAACCAGAAUGCUGAACUAAGGAGUCGUUUGAACAGAAUACACUCAGACUCUGUUCUUUGUGAUCAGGUUGUCAGUGUAAAUAUUAUCCCUAGUCCUGAUGAGACAGGUGAACAGAUCCAUGUCAGUCUCCCACUUUCCCAGCAAGUUUCUAAUGAGAGCAGGCUCUCCAUGUCUGAAUCUGUCUCUGAAUUUUUUGAUGCCCAAGAAGUGCUUCUAUCUGCAAGCUCAUCAGAAAAUGAGGCUUCUGAUGAUGAAUCUUAUAUAAGUGAUGUGAGCGACAACAUAUCUGAGGACAACACUAGUGUUGGAGACAAUAUUUCUCGGCAAAUAAUGAAUGGUGAGCUAACAGGAGGUGCUUUCAGAAAUGGACGAAGGACAUGUCUUCCAACACCCUCCCCUGAUACUAGUAAUAUUAAUCUGUGGAACAUUUUGAGAAAUAAUAUUGGGAAGGACCUUUCCAAAGUAUCAAUGCCUGUAGAGCUCAAUGAGCCUUUGAAUACUUUGCAACACCUUUGCGAGGAACUGGAAUAUAGCGAACUUUUGGACAAAGCUGCUGAAACCGAUGAUCCCUAUGAACGUAUGGUACUUAUUGCUGCCUUUGCAACUUCAGGAUAUGCUUCCACUUAUUACAGAGCAGGAAGCAAGCCUUUUAACCCUCUACUUGGUGAGACUUAUGAGUGUAUCAGGGAAGACAAGGGAUUUCGAUUUUUCUCAGAGCAGGUUAGCCAUCACCCACCCAUUUCUGCCUGUCACUGUGAAUCAAGGAAUUUUGUGUUUUGGCAAGAUAUUAGAUGGAAAAACAAAUUCUGGGGGAAAUCGAUGGAAAUAUUGCCAAUUGGAACUUUGAAUGUGACACUUCCUAAAUAUGGUGAUUGCUAUGUUUGGAACAAAGUCACUACUUGCAUACACAACAUCCUGAGUGGAAGGAGAUGGAUAGAGCAUUAUGGAGAAGUAACCAUUAGAAAUACAAAAAGCAGUGUCUGUAUUUGUAAGCUCACAUUUAUCAAGGUGAAUUACUGGAAUUCUAACGUAAAUGAAGUUCAAGGCGUUGUCAUGGACCAAGAAGGAAAAGUGGUGCAUCGCCUUUUUGGAAAAUGGCAUGAAGGAUUAUAUUGUGGAAUUGCACCUUCAGCAAAAUGUAUAUGGAGGCCCGGUUCCAUGCCAACAAAUUCUGAGCAUUACUAUGGUUUCACAAGGUUUGCUGUUGAGCUGAAUGAGUUAGAUCCUGCACUGAAAGAUCUUCUUCCAAAAACAGAUGCUCGAUUCAGGCCAGAUCAAAGGCAUUUGGAAGAUGGAAAUUUAGAAUUAGCAGCAGCAGAAAAACAAAGAAUUGAAGAACUCCAGAGAUGCCGGAGACGUUAUUUAGAAGAAAACAAUAUGGAACAUGUACCAAAAUUUUUUAAUAUAAUCCCUCUUCGGAUGGAGUAAUUCCUUCUGUGUAUACAACAAUAUGAAGUGGUGUCCCCAGACUGAAGCAGAAAAGUUAUUGAAGCCAAUCAGAGAGAAGCAUGGGUUUCUAAUGACACCUAUUGGGAACUCCGAAAGGAUCCUGGCUUUAGUAAAGUAGAAACAGUCAAACUCUGGUAAACUGAGAAUGUAAAUCUAGCAGCAUAUAACUCUUUUAAAAUAGAAAAACAAACAAAGAAAGAAACCACUAUGCACAACAUGUUUCUUAUAGCUGACGGUGAUUUGUGGGUCUGCAGGAAACCUUCCUUUGCUUUUACAUUCAAUUUAUAAUAGACUUCCAAAAGUGCAUUAGCCCAGACUCUGAACAUUUCUAUGAUCAUUAAUUUGAAAAGAAGGGAGGAAAAUGCUCACAAGCCCUUUAUUUAUUGAGAUACUGGAAGUGCAGCAUAAAAGAAGCAUGUACCGAUUUGGCCAAAGAUGCUUUGUAGAGUAUCUGGUGCUUUAAAUAGACACGAAGAGUUCAACAAUAAAACAAAUCUUGUUAUAACUAAGUUCUAGAAUGUCUACAUAUGUAGUUAUUGAAUCUUGAAUCACAUUAGAACACUUGUUCAUUUCUAGAGUCAGGUUGGUUUUUUUGAUGUGUUGUGCUUGGACUGGCUAUAUCAAAAACAACAUAAUGCUUUUCUAGAAGCUCUUCCCAUUCAUAUGCCAUUUUUCAUGCCUUAAAAACAAUGUCAAGUUGUACGUUGUUAUUUUAAAAAUAUGUAAUUUAUUUGUCAUUUCUCAAGGGCAGAUUUUUAAAAACAGCAGGAUUUUUGUUCAUAUUUUAAAUAAUGGAUAAAGUGUAUUAUUUAUGGAAAAUGAACUGUAUGUGAAGCAAGAGGAUGAUCUGGGAAUGUUUUAUCUUUGCAGGUUGUGGUUCUAUAUAGGCAGGUUGAAAGGAAACUGGCUAAUUUUGUAAUGAUCUUGAGAAAUCAAGUUCAUAUUCUCAAUGCCUAAUGCUGUGAUAAAUACACCGUCUCUUUUCAUGACUUCUCAUACUUCCUUCUGUCUCAUUUUCAUAACCCUUUGUAGAAUUAAAAUUCCCUAAAACUGUGCAUGAAUGCUAAGCACAUCUUUUAAAUCAGAAAAGCAUCCUGCAGUGGUAUAAUCAUCCUGAAUAACCUAUGUAUUCAUGCUUUCUUAUGUACAUUAUAUAUUUUUGUUCUCACCUCUUCGGGAAUUGUUGGGAGAAGUAAUGUGAUACAUGCACUACUUUCUCAGUUGAAACUUGCUAAUAUCAUUUUUAUGCAAAAUUAUAUUUUAUUGCUUUUUCAUAAAGCAGUUAUAUUUUUGGAUGAAAAAAUGACCUAAAUGGCUAUAUGUAGCACAUUUUGAUGUAUAUGUGGAAAGAGCCUGGAUGAUGUUGCCCUCAAAAUUAAGUCUAGUUGGUUACCAUGCUUUGCUAAAAUCAAUAUAUAAGGUAAAAAUCUUAAAGCUUUUUAAUAGACACUUGUCUUUUAUUUAUGUCCAGUGAUUUAAUUUAUUAAUACCUUGGACAUUGGCAAUAGAAAAGAUUUUCUUGUAUAUAUUUCAAAAAUAACAUUUCUGUAUAUUCAUGGCACAUAACUGUAUUUUACUGAGUGCAUUUUAUUGCUUUUCUGUAAAGGCACAGAGGUGGCUAUGAUUUCCCGAAAGCAAACUAACUGUAUAUGAUUAUGCAUUUCCAUGUAUUACUCAUCUUAUUUCCCCCAUGUCCAUUUCUGCUCAAUAAGCACACCUGUAUAAGGGACAGCUUGUUUAAAAAUAGGGCCUUAACUUCCUAAAGUUAUUUCCAGCUGGGGUGCGUCAUAUUAGCUAGACAUUUAUUAUCUGGCUGCGAUUUCGCUCUGAAAUUUGGUUGUAACUUGGGAUCACUUGUAUUUGACCAAGGCUUAAAAUAUGCACAAUAUUCUAGUACGAGCCUCUGAAGUACAGAAGGAGAAUGUUUUGUUUGCUGAUAUGCACAUUUCAUUCAAACUGAAAAAGAAUUAGAAUACACAGGAUUAAAAUAUGCAUGGACUCUUACAUGGUCCUUAUACAACAGGAGCUGUCAGCAUACCACUGUCACAUUGGGUAUUUUGUUAAUGUAGUAAUCCUUACAAGUUAUAGUUUAGUCAAUUUUGGUAAAAAUAAGAAGAAAGAAUGCCUUACCAUUUCAUCCUUUACAUUCAGUCUUCAGUAACCUCCCAGGAAUUUGUUACUGUCUCUCCAAAUCCAGAAUUAUUAAUUAAAAAGUUAUAAAUAUUAACAAAUAUUAUGAUUUAGUAAAAUAUCGAGACCAGGUGCUUAACAAGGUCAAUUAUACAGUAGUAUACAGUAGCCAAAAUUGUGGAAACCUUUUGGGAAAAGUGUAUUUUUGAGGUUUGAUGGCUAAUAACACCACUUCUUUUGGAGUAAUACCAUAAAAUUAUAUAUCAAUGGAAAGAUAAUUUAAUCAAGAAUGUAAUACAAAAAAGUUUGUUCAAUUAUCUGUAUUCUAUGAAAAGUUUCAGCCAAAUAACCAGAAAAAGGAAGCACAACUUGCUUAGGUUGAUAUCAGGUAACUUUCCUUCAUCUGAUUGUAGCCAAUGAGCAUGAAUGUUUAGAGAGCCAAUCAGAUGUCAUCUUGUUUUGGCAAUGCGCCAAUCAGAUCACAAUAGGAUUCAGGUAUUGAUAUCAUGUUUUGAAGCUGAGAGGUGGACAUUUGUCAGUGUGUUAUGUGAUCGCUAUCAAGUUGGUUGGGUUUAUUUGUGUUCUUUCAUUUUAGUAAGCUUGUAUUAGUAUUAGUAUUAGUAUUUAUUAGAUUUUUAUACCGCCCUUCUCCCGAAGGACUCAGGGCGGUUCACAUAAAAAACAAUGACAAUAUACAGAUAAAAACAAAGAUUAAAAAACUUAUUAUAUGUUUGGCAAAAAUUUAAAACAAUAUACCGUUAAAAACCUCUUAAAAUUUAUAUCAAAUAUGAAUAUUAAAAUUAAACUCUUUAAAAUUAUAAAAUUUAAAAUUACUAAGCCAGUCCUGCACGAAUAAACAAAUAUGUCUUCAGCUCGCGGUGAAAGGUCCGAAGGUCAGGCAGUUGACGCAAUCCAGGGGGAAGUUCGUUCCAGAGGUUAGGAAGAGAAGGACCUUCCCCUGGGGGCCGCCAGCCGACAUUGCUUGGCGGACGGCACCCUGAGAAGCCCCUCUCUGUGUGAGCGUAGGGGUCGGUGGGAGGUGUUCGGUAGUAGAAGGCGGUCCCGUGAAUACCCUGGCCCUAACCAUGGAGUGCUUUAAAGGUAGUGACCAAAACCUUAAAGUGCACCCAAGAGACCACAGGCAGCCAAUGCAGUCUGCGCAGGAGUGGUGUUACAUGGGAGCCAUGUGCGGCUUCCUCUAUCACCCGCGCAGCUGCAUUCUGAACUAACUGGAGCCUCCGGGUGCUCUUCAAGGGGAAUGUAAAACAUAAUAAAAUUAAAGUAAUGGUGCAAAGAGUCGGUCGCCCAAAAACCGAUGUAAAAUAGUAUUAUUAAGUGAACAAGGCUACAAAAUUAAAAGAAAAAUUGGUGGAAACUUAACCAAAGGUGGCACUUCUAAGUUUUUGAAGAGGUAUAAGGAGACUCAGUCAUUACAAAACCACACUGGUAAAGGCAGGAAAAGGUGCACAACAGCAAGUGAUGAUAGAAGAAUUAAGAGACUGUGCCUAUGUGACAAAAGAAAAUCAUCUGGGUGUAUACAAGAUGAAAUGGCGCAAUGCAAUGCAGUGAAGUUGAGUGCAAGGACUCUUCAGUGCAGACUGUAGGAAUUUGGCCUAAAAUCUAGAAUUCCAUGAAAAAAUCUUCUUUUAUCUCUCAAAGGUUGAAAAGCAUUACAUUCUUGAUUAAAUUAUCUUUCCAUUGAUACAUAAUUUUAUGGUACUACUCCAAAAAGAAAAUAAAUGGUGUUAUUAGCCAUCAAACCUUAAAAUUACACUUUUCCCAAAAGGUUUCCACAAUUUUGGCCACUACUGUAAAUCAAGCUAACUUUGACAUAACAUGCUGCCCCCAAAUAAUAUACUUAAGUUGAUUAGUACGUUAUUUGAAGGCAGGCCAUUUGGUUAAUUUAUAACAUUUAUUUUUGUUUUUUUUAUUAUUUACUUCUAUCCCACCUUAUUUUUACAAAUAACUAAAGGCAGUGAAAAUAUCCUAAAUACCUUUCUCCUCCUAUUCUUCCCCACAAACAACCCUGUGAGAUGGAUUGACCUGAGAGAGGGUAAUUUACCAAAGGUCACGCAGCUGGCUUUAUGGCUAAGGCAGGAUUAGAACUACUUGGUGCCAGACCAAAAUGGGUCUAUAUAUCGAUACACCUGGAUAAUCAGUCCAUUUAGCUAACCACUUGAGCCUGUUCUGUGAACUCAGCCAUUAAACUAAGUGGCUAAACUUCAAAUGCUUACUUGUAUUCAUGUAACAAGUUUGAUUUAAAUCUACGGGACUACAGCCUUUUUCCUUUGGGACAAUUGUAAUUCAUCUGUAUGUCCAAGCCAUUUCUUUUCAGGUGAAUGCAAAAUGUGAAAAAGUAAUAAGAAUUAGUAAGCAAACCACAAGAUUAGGAGCAUAUGAAAAUAGCUACAUUUACAACCAUAACAUUCACUAUAACGCUGUACUUUUCUACCCUUGCAAACCAUUCUUGCUUUGAACACAUUGGUACUCCACUUCAGAGGUUGCCUUUGGUUCUAAAUCUUCUCACCUAUAAUUUCUUGAGGGUUUCAUUAGCUCAUUCAACCAUGGUUUUCCUUCAUUAUCCACUUCAUCUGAAUUCAUUUAUUUUUCCUUCAUACAUUGGUUUUACAUUUUGGUCUUCAUGGAUUCUCUAGAGAUCACUGCCUAUCAGUCCUAAUUCAUUCUACAGAUAUGUCUAUAGUUAUUUAAAAAUUUCCAUCCUAAUUGCCCUGCAUUUGCUUUCCUGUGUUUAUGUAAACAGCUCCCUGCUGUCUGUGUUGCAUUCUUUGCAACUUUUUCUCUACAUGUAUGUUAUAUAUUUUACUCAUCAUGAUUCUCUUGCCUGUGUAUUGCUCAUUCACAGACUUUUGACUUCAUUCAUUUUUAAUACUUUAGUACUUUCUUUUAGUAUAUGUCCAAAAAAUUCAGUGGCAUUUUGUAAAAUAAUUUUUCUUACUGUUUUAAGUUAGCUUACACAUUCUAUUUCCUCAAGUCUACUCUCUCUUUAGAUUAUUGGAAGAUUUAUUUGUUUUCAAUUUUAUCUAUACAGGGCACAUUUUAUCUACCUGUAGUUAUUCUAUUUUUUUCAUUUCUUUCUUCCAUGUCUAUUUUUUUUCUUAAGAUCCAUUUUUGAGAUUACCGUUAAUGAUUUGGCAUCUGAUUUGGCAUUCUGAACUUUUCAUCACUUUUGUACCUUCAAUAAUUCAGUUUUUCACUUAAAAAAAAUCAAGUGAAUACUAAUGUGUGAAGAAUAAGAGACUUAUAUUUACCAGUUAUGCUUUUUAUUCAUUUUCAAUGUGGCCUACUCAUUUUUUCUGUACUCUUGUCUUCCUUCUGUUCACUGAUAUCUUUUAACAAUAUUCUCCUCCCCCCAGAUUGAAUUUUUCAGAAUAUUGUACAUUUUAUCUCAAAACCCAUCUCUGGUGCAAUUUCCACCAGCUUAUGCAUUCCUAUAUUCAUAUGCAUCUUCAACCAACUAGAUAACAUCAAUUUCUAAUUAAUAUUGUAGUUCUUUCCUUCAUAAACGUUUCACUUCCAUACAUGUUUUUAUCAAUUCCAUUCUCUAAGAUCAAACUACCAUAUUUUUUGCACUAUAAAACACACCGGACCAACCCCCGUCCCCUGCCUCAAUAUUCACUCUAAGACACACAGACAUUUCCAUCCACUUUGGGGGUGGAGUGCGCCUUACACAGCGAAAAAAUACGGUACCUUAUUUACUGUUGUUACAUCCUUCACCUUUCAGAGACAUAAAACUAUUUUUUAUUUCAUUUGUUAAUUAAUGCUCUUUACAAUUUGCUCUCUUUCAUAUGCCAUAAUGAACACUAAUUGGGCUCAUAGCAAUAGCACUUAGACUUAUAUAGCACUUCCCAGUGUUUUACAGAUCUCUCUAAGUGGUUUACAAAGUCAGCAUAUUGCCCCCAACAAUCUGGUUCCUCAUUUUAUUGACCUUGGAAAGAUAGAAGGCUGAGUAAACCUUGAGCCAGUGAGAAUCGAACUGCCUACCUGCUGAUAGCCGACAAUCAGCAGAAAUAUCCUGCAGUACUGCAUUCUAACAGCUGUGGCCCCACUACUGCCCAUGAUGGGUUUGGUCAAGCAAAGGUCUUAAACUACACUUUUUAGUAAGAUAGCUAAAUUGUAAAUUAGGUUACCAGUUUUAGAUGUGAAACAUUCCCUGCUAAUGAUGAAAGGAAAAUAGGCAGUUUGGGCCUAUUUUGAGCCCAAGAUACCACAAAUGCAACAAAACCCAGGUUUAUUCCAAGCAUAUUCAUAUUCUACGCAAGACAGAACUUCAGUCUAGAGACUGCCUUGUAAAUCUUGCAAAUUGUCCUGCAAGAUUGCUUUAAUGGUUCUUUUAGUUUUCAACGCAGGACACUUUGAGAUAUAAGAGUCUAAACUACUUUGGGGAAAAAGAACCCCAUCCAGAUCUCUAGUUUAAACUAUUUUCUUAAAAAUCUGGAUAUUCUUGAAAUCAUUUCACUAUAGCAUUUAUUUUAAGAUAUGCUUUCAUAAGGUUCUAAAUUAAAUCUGAAGCAAGUAUAUCAUAUUUAGCUAUAAUUGACAGUAUAGUCCUACCAUACAUUCAUGCUAACAGCAUGAGCAAAUUCACCACAUUAGUUCAUCUGUUCAUCAUACCUCUGCAGACAUUAUAUUUGAUUAUUUCAUCUAAACUUAUAAAAUAUGAUAGUUAGGGGUAAUAGGUAAAAUUUUCAGGAAAAAAAACUUAAAAAUAAAUACUUUCAAAAAGAAAAAAAAAUCUGCUAGCCAGAGUUCCUUUAAAUCAGAUAAAAAUGCAUUUAAAAAUGAAAAUUACAGAAUUAACUUAAGGUGAAUGUGAAUUUCUGCAAAGGAUUGAACUCAUGUGAUGGAAAUUU